AACGAACGCUGGCGGCGUGGAUAAGACAUGCAAGUCGAACGGGAUUUUAUUUGUAGCAAUACACGUAAAGUCUAGUGGCGUAAGGGUGCGUAACACGUGGGCAAUCUGCCGAGAAGUGGGGGAUAGCUCGCCGAAAGGCGAAUUAAUACCGCAUGUGGUUAGUGAAGACAUCUUCGCGAUACCAAAGCCGGGGCAACCUGGCGCUUCUUGAUGAGCCCGCGGCCUAUCAGCUAGUUGGUGAGGUAACGGCUCACCAAGGCUAUGACGGGUAGCUGGUCUGAGAGGACGACCAGCCACACUGGAACUGAGACACGGUCCAGACACCUACGGGUGGCAGCAGUCGAGAAUUUUUCUCAAUGGGGGAAACCCUGAAGGAGCGACGCCGCGUGGAGGAUGAAGGUCUUCGGAUUGUAAACUCCUGUCAUUUGGGAACAAUGUGCAUUUAUUAACUGUAGAUGCAUUGAUAGUACCAGAAGAGGAAGAGACGGCUAACUCUGUGCCAGCAGCCGCAGUAAGAC
rnacentral:rRNA from 1 species